rnacentral:rRNA from 1 species
UACGUAGGGUGCGAGCGUUGUCCGGAAUUAUUGGGCGUAAAGAGCUCGUAGGCGGCUUGUCGCGUCGAAUGUGAAAUCUCAGGGCUCAACUCUGACAUUGCAUUCGAUACGGGCAGGCUAGAGUUCGGUAGGGGAGACUGGAAUUCCUGGUGUAGCGGUGAAAUGCGCAGAUAUCAGGAGGAACACCGGUGGCGAAGGCGGUUCUCUGGGCAUGUUCUGACGCUGAGGAGCGAAAGUGUGGGGAGCGAACAGG